CACGUAGGGGGCAAGCGUUGUCCGGAAUCAUUGGGCGUAAAGUGCGUGUAGGCGGCCCGAUAAGUCCGCUGUGAAAGUCCAGGGCUCAACCCUGGAAUGCCGGUGGAUACUGUCGGGCUCGAGUCCGGAAGAGGCGAGUGGAAUUCCUGGUGUAGCGGUGAAAUGCGCAGAUAUCAGGAGGAACACCAAUGGCGAAGGCAGCUCGCUGGGACGGUACUGACGCUGAGACGCGAAAGCGUGGGGAGCAAACAGG
rnacentral:rRNA from 1 species